rnacentral:lncRNA from 7 species
AGAGGAUGUCGAUGGUGGAGGAGACAAGGCCGAUCGGCACGAUCUAUGGAGAGCGCUGGUUCGGUGGCGCAAUCUAUGAGGCAAUAGUGGUCCGACGUUGAAGAAGAAACUUGUGUCACAUGCGUUGGACCUAGAUACCUCACUAUGCUAGAAAAUGGAAAAAGAGCUUGUGGUACCUUGCUACCUCUCUAUGUGGGAAAGGGAAAAAAUAACAACGUGAGUGUUAAAAAUUGGCGUCAACUACAUUUACGGAGCGUUUGGAUCCCUUCAUUUUAAAGGAAUUGUAAUUCACUCAAUAAAGUAACUUAUUUAGUUUGGAAUUCGACAUUCCACCACUUUCCAAAGUUUAGGUAUAAGUCUAUCUCAAAUUCAUGGGGUAGAGGAUGAGAAAUGAUUUUAUGCAUUAGUAGAAUUUGUUUGUACUCUAUAACUUACAUAGCACUCUUUGUCUCACUCCUCUAUAGUAAAAAUAUAGCACAUAAAUAUUUUCGACAUCUUGCUAAUAAUAGUAUACAAAUAUAUUUUGUAUAAAACCAAAUUAGCUUAAUUGGUAUAAGCCUAAAUUACUAUUAUUAGAAU